GUAAGCAUAUCAAUAAGCGGAGGAAAAGAAACCAACAGGGAUUACCUUAGUAACGGCGAGUGAAGCGGUAACAGCUCAAAUUUGAAAUCUGGGUCUUUUAGGCUCCGAGUUGUAAUUUGUAGAAGAUGCUUUGGGUGCGGCCCCGGUCUAAGUUCCUUGGAACAGGACGUCAUAGAGGGUGAGAAUCCCGUAUGUGAUCGGUGGCUUGCGCCCGUGUAAAGCUCUUUCGACGAGUCGGGUUGUUUGGGAAUGCAGCUCUAAAUGGGUGGUAAAUUUCAUCUAAAGCUAAAUAUUGGCCAGAGACCGAUAGCGCACAAGUAGAGUGAUCGAAAGAUGAAAAGCACUUUGGAAAGAGAGUUAAACAGUACGUGAAAUUGUUGAAAGGGAAGCGCUUGCAACCAGACUUGCGCGGGGUUGAUCAUCCGGGGUUCUCCCCGGUGCACUCGGCCUCGCUCAGGCCAGCAUCGGUUUUGGUGGUUGGAUAAAGGCCUUGGGAAUGUGACUUCUUUCGGGGAGUGUUAUAGCCCUCGGUGCAAUGCAGCCUACCGGGACCGAGGACCGCGCUUCGGCUAGGAUGCUGGCGUAAUGGUUGUAAGCGACCCGUCUUGAAACACGGACCAAGGAGUCUAACAUCUAUGCGAGUGUUUGGGUGUCAAACCCAUACGCGUAAUGAAAGUGAACGGAGGUGAGAACCCUUAAGGGUGCAUCAUCGACCGAUCCUGAUGUCUUCGGAUGGAUUUGAGUAAGAGCAUAGCUGUUGGGACCCGAAAGAUGGUGAACUAUGCCUGAAUAGGGUGAAGCCAGAGGAAACUCUGGUGGAGGCUCGCAGCGGUUCUGACGUGCAAAUCGAUCGUCAAAUUUGGGCAUAGGGGCGAAAGACUAAUCGAACCAUCUAGUAGCUGGUUCCUGCCGA
rnacentral:rRNA from 1 species